rnacentral:lncRNA from 1 species
ACAGAUGGUAAAAGAUUCUCUUUGUGGGCUUAUGAGGAGUUCGAGAAGGGUAAUAUUGAGGGCAUUGUUGACAAAAGACUAGAAGAAGUUGAUAUUGAGCAAGUGGUAAGGGCAAUUAUGGUGAGCUUUUGGUGCAUCCAGGAGCAACCUUCCCAGAGGCCAAUGAUGGGAAAAGUGGUGCAGAUGCUAGAAGGAGUCAUCGAUAUUGAGAGGCCAGGAGCGCCAAAAGUGGUUGCUGAAGGGGCCACGAGAGGAACAGGCACAACGGUGAACAGUAAUAUCAGCGCAUUCUCAACAUAUGCAUCUUCAUCAUCCCAAUCCAUAGGAGUUUUGCCUUUCAGAUCAGAGAGGGAUAUGGGGAGGGAAUCUUCUUCCCUACUAGGCUUAGAGAGAAGUGAGACAGAUCCACACUCGUGAUUUGCCUGCAAAAAACAAGUUUAAUGCAUGGGAGAUUUUAAAUAAUAAAGUAUAAUUGUUUUAGUAGAUUGUUACAAUUAUUUUAGUAGUUCCAGUCAACUAUCAAAUCAAAUUGUUUUCUAAUUCUGCUUCCUUUAAACAGUUUGAAGUAGAGUUCCUCAAAUUUUCACUUCCAUUUGAGAAUAAAAUUUGACAAAUCAACUGAAGUUUCUGCAACUUUUGUUCUGUUAGCAGAAAGAACAAGCAUAGUCCAUUAUUUCAAGUCAAAGUAGUGUACAUCUAAACAUGACAGGAAAAUAAUUUUAAUUGAAGAAGCUAAUUAUUUGAAACUUUUUCCCCUGUUGUGUGUACAGUGACAAUUGCUAUUGCUAGUGCUGCAAUAGAUUUUAUAACCUGAAUUUUUUCUUGAAGCUGUAAUGUAACUCAAUUCAAUUCAAGUUUGAAUUUGUCAAAACUAAUAGAAACUUCUAACUGUAACAUGCCGUUUCAAUUAGGGUAUUUGAAUCUGUUAAAAACAUAUAAUUCUAAGGGUACUGCUAUAGACCUUCACUGGUACAUGAGUAUUCAAUUUGGAUUAUUCAUGGUUCAACUUCUUUGUUUGGUGGGUGGAGAGGGGAGAGAAGGUUUGUUCCGACAGAACAGACCAGAAGCCAAUCCUUCCUCCUUUCGUGAACGACCAGCUGGAAACAGACGUGGAAUAAACAAAACCAAAAGGCACGAAACAAAUGACUACGGACAGUAUCCUCCCUCUUUAAAAGACCGAAACUGGCAUCCCAUAACACCCCCAAACCUUAAUACAGAAACAAAGAAAAAAUGACCCUCCAAUUCCUCCGUUUCUUCCUGUUCCUAGCAACUUUCUUCUCUGUUCCAUCAUCAGCCACAAUCCCUUCAGGCGCCACCGUCUACGCCUCAACCCCAAAUCAAACAUGGUCCUCACCCAAUUCCACCUUCUCCAUCUCCUUCAUCUCCACGAGCCCCAAUGUUUACACUGCCUCCAUCACCUACUCUGGUGGAGUUCCAAUUUGGACAGAAGGCAGCAAUGUUGACUCCGGUGGGGCCCUUCAGUUUCUCCACAGCGGAGCUCUACGCCUCUAUAUUUCUUACCAAAGAUGAUGAUCUAAUCACCAAAUGCAAAUCACUGUAGAUUUUGAGACGAUCACUCAACACGAAACACUACCUAAGCCUUUUACUCCCUCAAUGUUUCAUAAAUAGUGUCGUUUGAGUUUGAUUUAGAUAUUCUUAAGUUUGAUCCUUAUUUAUUUAUAAAUUAUAAAUAAUUUAAAUUAAAAAAUACUUUUUAAUAACUUUGUAUAACAUGGUUUUCAAAUCUAUGUUAAUUAAAAUUUAAAAAGUCAAAUAAUUAAAAUAAGUAAGAUUAAAAUUAAAAAAAAAAGAAACCAAAAAACGGACAUAAAAGGGUGUUUGUAAUCAAUAUGCAAACUUGCUAUUGGAGCUUUGAAAUUUUCAGGGACCAAAGGCAAAAAAUGGGGGUCUUUUCACUCCUAUUUCUUGUACUUAAUUACAAACAAAUUUAGGAAAAUGGCUUGAUAUUUUAUCACAGUUAGUUUUAUAAUGGUCACUUAUCUCAACAAAUAGACAAUGACCCAAAUGGUUUGUAAAAGUUGUGGAUCGAGAAAGUAUGAAUAAUUGAAUAAGCAUGUCAAAAGGUAAGGUAUUAGGUAUUUUUAACAUAUUCUAAUCCGAAUCUUAUUAUUUUAUAAGAUUUUGAAAUUUAUAAAUAUCUAAUUAAAUUUUUGAAUUGUUAUAUACACUCUUAUCCUAAUAUCCUAAACACUAUUCAUUAAAUACAUGAUUAAAUAAAUUUAAACUAAUUUUUAUGUAUAGUAUUAGUGAAAAUUAAAGUAAAAUUAAUUUAUAAAAAAAUUAAAGUUUAAAGGCAUAUCUAUCUUGAAUAAAGUAUUAUCUUAAUUGAAAGAAAUUUAUGAAAAAAAAAAAUAUAUAAAAAAAAAUAAAAUUUAAUAUUAAAAAUUAUUAUUUAUAGGAAAUCCAUUAGCAUCCCCGAGUAAGAAUGAAGAAUGGAAAGGUGUAAGACCGACAAGUUUAAACUUUUACUACUUCUAACUUCUAAAAAGGGUUAUUGCUUUCUUCCGUAUCUCUACCAAAAUUCUACUGCAAAAAGAGGGUGAACUUUCUGCCAUGAACAAAUUCUUCCCUUCCUUGACCGUACAAUGUUUUCGUUCUUUGUCUUUACUCAACUUCGACUCCUUGUCUUGUUAAAUGAAAUGAUGGGAUAACAAAAAGGUAACAGAAUGCAAAUAAACACCAUAGACUACAACAUAUGGCUAAGUUAUCCCUUUUUCUGCUCCUUCUCCUCCAUCUUCUCUUCACCGUUUCGUCAUCGUCCACUAUCAUACCUCUAGGCUCAACUCUUCACGCUUCAGAUGCAAAUCAAUCCUGGUCGUCACCCAGCUCCACCUUCUCACUUUCCUUCAUUCCUGUAGCUCCCUUUUCUUAUGUAGCUGCCAUCACCUACUCCGCUGGAGUUACAGUAUGGUCGGCUGGUGGUGGCAGCCAUAGCGCUGGAGCCGUUGUUGACUCUGGUGGGACUCUACAUUUGCUUCUCACUGGAGCCCUCCGCCUAAUUAAUGGCUCCGGCACCAUUGUUUGGGAAUCUGGUACUGCCGACCGAGGUGUCUCACAUGCGUCUCUUGACGAUUCAGGCAACUUUCAGCUGCUUAACAAUGAUAGUUCCCCAACAUGGUCCUCGUUCGAGAACCCGACUGAUACCCUCGUUCCUUCACAGAAUUUUACUGUUGGUAAGAGUUUGGGUUCAGGUUCUUACUCGUUAUCUCUUAACAAAAUAGGGAAUCUUACUUUAAAGUGGAAUAAUAGUAUAGAAUACUGGAAUCUAGGAUUCAACUCUUCCAUCAAAGGAAAUUUGACUUCACCUAGAUAUGUAUUGGAGUCUACUGGAAUUUUGAGAGGCUUUGAUCCUUCGCUUUCUAGUGGAAUGAUUAUGGCUUAUAGUACUGACUACGGUGAAGGGAAUGGUGCGUUCAGAUUUUUGAGGAUGGAUAGUGAUGGUAAUUUGAGGAUUUAUAGCACUAGUAAGGGGAGUGGGAAUAUAACCUCGACAUGGGCAGCUGUAACUGACCAGUGUCAGGUUUUUGGAUACUGUGGCAACAUGGGGAUUUGCAGUUACAAAGAUAUGAAUCCCAUUUGUGGAUGCCCAUCCCAGAAUUUUGAGCUCAUUGAUGUAAAUGAUAGUAGAAAAGGAUGCAAGAGGAAAGUGGAAAUUGAGGAUUGCCCAGGGAAUUUUACCAUGAUAGAAUUAGGACAUGCUAAAUUUUUAACUUAUCCACCCGAGGUUUCCCCUCAGACAUUUUACGAGGGAAUUCUAGCUUGUAGAGUGAAUUGUUUUGGGAGUGGUUCUUGCAUUGCUUCCACUUCAGUAGCUGAUGGAAGUGGAUCUUGUUACAUGAAAACCCCAGAUUUUGUUAGUGGUUACCAGAAUGCGAUUCUUCCUAGCACCUCAUUCGUGAAAGUUUGUUGGCCAGCGGUCCCAAAUCCAUCACCAUACCAAGAUAAUGCAGGGAAGGAUAACAAUUCGAGGUCACCUAUGUUGAUAGUUGCUGUUGUGGUUUUGGCCAGCCUUUUGGUUUUGGUAGCGUUAUUGAUUGGUUUUUGGUGCUGCUGUUACCGAAGUAGUCCCAAAUUUGGGCAUAUAUCAGCUCGAUAUGUACUUGUUGAUUAUGCAUCUGGCGCGCCAGUGAAGUUCUCAUACAAGGAACUGCAACAGUAUACAAAAGGGUUUUCGGAGAGGCUUGGAACAGGAGGUUUUGGGGCUGUUUACAAAGGAACACUUGCUAAUAGUAUGGUGGUUGCUGUGAAGCAACUAGAGGGAAUUGAGCAGGGUGAGAAACAAUUCAGAAUGGAAGUUGCAACUAUUAGUAGCACACACCAUUUGAAUUUGGUGAGAUUAAUGGGAUUUUGCACUGAUGGGCAUCAUAGGCUUUUAGUCUAUGAAUUCAUGAAAAAUGGUUCACUUGACAAUUUCCUUUUUAUGUCGAAAGACAAGAAGGGGAAAUGGUUGAAUUGGAAAAAUCGAUUUAACAUCGCUCUUGGAACAGCUAAAGGAAUCACUUAUCUUCACGAGGAAUGUCGAGAUUGCAUAAUUCACUGUGACAUAAAACCGGAAAACAUUCUUUUAGAUGAAAGUUACACUGCUAAAGUGUCAGAUUUUGGCCUUGCAAAGCUUAUGAAUCCAAAGAAUAAUCGGUACCUGUCCUUAGCAAGUAUUAGAGGGACAAGAGGAUAUUUGGCACCCGAGUGGCUUGCUAAUCUCCCGAUAACUUCAAAAUGUGACGUUUAUAGUUAUGGAAUGGUUUUGUUAGAGAUAGUGAGUGGGACAAGGAAUUUCGAGGUCUCAACAGAAACAGAUGGUAAAAGAUUCUCUUUGUGGGCUUAUGAGGAGUUUCAGAAGGGUAAUGUUGAGGGCAUUGUUGACAAAAGACUAGAAGAAGUUGAUAUUGAGCAAGUGGUAAGGGCAAUCAUGGUGAGCUUUUGGUGCAUCCAGGAGCAACCUUCCCAGAGGCCAAUGAUGGGAAAAGUGGUGCAGAUGCUAGAAGGAGUCAUCGAUAUUGAGAGGCCAGGAGCGCCAAAAGUGGUUGCUGAAGGGUCCACGAGAGGAACAAGCACAACGGUGAACAGUAAUAUCAGUGCAUUCUC